rnacentral:tRNA from 1 species
GGGGGCGUAGCUCAAUUGGUUAGAGCGCUGGCCUGUCACGCCGGAGGUUGCGGGUUCGAGCCCCGUCGCUCCCGCCA